CUUCAACUUUUGCCAACUUCGCGUCAGCUCUCAUGGAGGCCAACUUAGCAUCGGCCAGUGCCAACCUUUUCGGGGUGGCCCGAUGCCUUCCAUGUUCGACUUCAAGUUCAUCAAUGCACCCAUCUCUCUCUUUUCGUAGCCGAUGGAUGGAGUGCUUCUUGCUCCUUAUUCACAAUUCGAGGGAUGAGAUGCUCUGAUGAGCUGACUCAAGUUUGGCCU
rnacentral:lncRNA from 1 species